rnacentral:rRNA from 1 species
AUACGUAGGGGACGAGCGUUGUCCGGAAUUACUGGGCGUAAAGGGCGCGCAGGCGGAUAGUUAAGUCAGCUGUAAAAGGCGUGAGCUCAACUCAGGUAUGCGGUUGAAACUGGGCAUCUCGAGGGCUGGAAAGGUAGGCGGAAUUCCCGGGUGAGCGGGGAAAUGCUGAGAUAUCGGGAAGAACACCAGUGGCGAAGGCGGCUUACUGGUCAGCAACUGACGCUGAGGCGCGAAAGCCAGGGGAGCGAACGGGAUUAGAUACCCCGGUAGUCCUGGCCGUAAACGAUGAAUGCUAGGUGUGGGUGUCGAGAGGCAUCCGUGCCGGAGUUAACGCGAUAAGCAUUCCGCCUGGGGAGUACGAUCGCAAGAUUGAAACUAAAAUGAAUUGGCGGGG